rnacentral:rRNA from 1 species
GACGAACGCUGGCGGCGUGCUUAACACAUGCAAGUCGAACGAAGAGCGAUGGAAGCUUGCUUCUAUCAAUCUUAGUGGCGAACGGGUGAGUAACGCGUAAUCAACCUGCCCUUCAGAGGGGGACAACAGUUGGAAACGACUGCUAAUACCGCAUACGAUCUAAUCUGGGCAUCGAGGAAAGAUGAAAGGUGGCCUCUAUUUAUAAGCUAUCACUGAAGGAGGGGAUUGCGUCUGAUUAGCUAGUUGGAGGGGUAACGGCCCACCAAGGCGAUGAUCAGUAGCCGGUCUGAGAGGAUGAACGGCCACAUUGGGACUGAGACACGGCCCAGACUCCUACGGGAGGCAGCAGUGGGGAAUCUUCCGCAAUGGACGAAAGUCUGACGGAGCAACGCCGCGUGAGUGAUGACGGCCUUCGGGUUGUAAAGCUCUGUUAAUCGGGACGAAAGGCCUUCUUGCGAAU